GAUACAGGGCAACAGUAGUUCAAUCCUACACGACGUACUGGGAGAACAUCCUAUCUAGGGAGUUGGCCAUUUCGAUGGGCCCGUCCGGCACUGCUGCCACUACGAACGCUAACGCGACCAUCGAAGCAUCCACUACCGCACCAACUCAAGCACCAACUCAAGCACCACCACAACUGCAACCAGCGCUGAGCUUUGCCAAAUGCGGCACGGAGAAGUCUUGCAUAAGCUGGGGAGCUGUUGCCUGUUCACCCGUCACGUGUGAUGUGGCUGUGAACUAUAUAGCCCAGCGCACUCAUGUUUCCAUUGAGAUGACCGCCAUGACACAGGAUACGUCGCUAUCGGUUCUCAAGUGACAAGAAUAUGGGAAACGAUGAUGUGAUCGCAUGCAUGAUAAAGAACGAUUCGUUCGUUGUCCUGAACGAGUUCAGGAAUCCUGGCGGACGAACCCCGCCCGUACGGCAGACGAACAGGCUGGUUACGGACAUACAGGCUGAAUAUGUCAAUGGCCGAGUCACCUGCCGAUUUAGGCGCCCUCUAUCCAACGGAGGAGACAGUGAUCACUUCGAUCUGGCUUCACCUUUAUAUCAUUUCAUUGCGACUGGACGUGUAUCGAAUGGCGCUCUGCUGCAGCAUGAUGAGAUCCCUCGCGUGUCGGAUAAUAAACGAAACAUGACCAGUAUCACAGUGGAAA